GUGGAUGUAGCUCAGUUGGUAGAGCAUCAGAUUGUGGCUCUGGGGGCCGUGGGUUCGAAUCCCACCAUUCACC
rnacentral:tRNA from 1 species